rnacentral:rRNA from 1 species
CCUACGGGAUGCAGCAGUGAGGACUAUUGGUCAAUGGGCGGGAGCCUGAACCAGCCAAGCCGCGUGAAGGAAGAAGGCGCCAGGCGUCGGAAACUUCUUUUGUCGGGGAACAAAGGGCGCCACGUUGGGCGUUGUGAGUGUACCCGAAGAAAAAGCAUCGGCUAACACCGUGCCAGCAGCCUCGGUAAUACGGAGGAUGCGAGCGGUCUCCGGAUUUAUUGGGUUUAAAGGGUGCGGAGGCGGUCCGGAAAGUCAGAGGGAAAAGCCCGGGGCUCAACCCCGGCGAGCCGUUGAAACUGUCGGACUAGAGACGGCGAGAAGUACGCGGAAUGCGCGGUGUAGCGGUGAAAUGCAUAGAUAUCGCGCAGAACUCCGAUUGCGAAGGCAGCGUACCGGCGCCGGACUGACGCUGAGGCACGAAAGCGUGGGUAUCGAACAGGAUUAGAUACCCUGUAGU